UACAGAGGAGCCAAGCGUUGUCCGGAUUGACUGGGCGUAAAGCGCACGCAGGCGGUUGCGCGCGUGGGGUGUGAAAUCUGGCCGCUUAACGGCCAGGCGCCAUCCCAUACGGCGCGACUGGAGGGCUGCAGAGGUCGAUGGAAUUGCCGGUGUAGUGGUGAAAAUGCGUAGAGAUCGGCAGGAACACCCAGGGGGGAAACCAGUCGACUGGGCAGCACCUGACGCUGAGGUGCGAGAGCGUGGGGAGCGAACCGG
rnacentral:rRNA from 1 species